rnacentral:lncRNA from 1 species
UUACUAAUAGUAUUAGUAGUAAUGAGAUAGUAAUAAAAAUCAAUCACACUUUGACAUGAUGUCUGAAAGCCCUUCACUUGCCAUAGGACCGUGAAGAAUCUAAUCUUCAACAUAUUUUAAGUUAUUUGCCUAAUUUGAUCAAUUGUACUGUAAAAAUAAGAUCUUAAAGUUGAGAUUUUCUCUAUUUAACUCUAAAGGCUCUACAUAUAUUACUAAUAAGUUGAGAUGUUGAAAGGAAAAUUAAGGCACCAAAGUAUAGAACAAUUCAGUCAUUUUGUUAUAAACAAGAUCCAGAUGAUUUCAAUUUGAGUAUACCAAGCUCUUCAUAAAUCCCUCUUCCUUUAUCUUGCAUUCAAAAUUCCUCACUAGAAAAAAAUUACUCUAAGACUAAAAAGUAAUAAAUAAUAUUUAAAAUAGCUCAUUUGAUGCUUGCCGUACUCCCCAGCCCUUCUCCCUUCUCCAAGCCUCAUGGUCAAACCUCCUUUUCUCUUUUGCUCAGGAACCCUGAAAAGAAAAAAAAAAAAAAAAAUCAAAGUGUUGAUCUCAAUUACCUAAUGGGUAAUUUCUCUUUUUAUAUAACUAGCAAGUUCACCUAGCAAAUGAAAAAGCUAUAUGAAGUACCCCAUCCCUUCAUCUUCAGCAGAAAAACAUUAAAAUUACUCAGAUCACAAUUACUCCAAAUAUCAGAGCUCCUAAGUAUAUGAUACUUUUGUCCUUAUUUUUCCUAAAAAUAUUAUUUUUGUAUUUGACAUGUUUCUGUACAGAUUUUUGUGAUGAGAAAGGAUAAGCAGAAUUACUUAAGACUUUUUUUUUCCAUUUUCAGUUCAGGUGUGACCUUGUACCCAAGCUUCCUUCUCCAGUGUAAGAAAACAAAGUCCUCUCUGUCCCCAAAAAAGAGACUGGGCACCGGAACACAGAGAAGCCCCUUUGUCCGGCUCUCCCCACCACCCCCAUUAAUAUGCACUGCUGCAACCUUGAGGCCCAGGGAGGAACUCCUUUGACUUGGAGACUGGAUUUUGCAAAACCCCAAGCUUUGUUCCACAGGGACACUCAUGUCAAAUGACAGUCCCUCACAGUAACUCCACCAUGUUCUCCCAUUCAAGACAGUGUACUGGCAUGCAAGUGAGUAAAAACUAUGCUAUUAUAAGGAUAACCUUGAGUUUGCUGGAAUGAAUUCUUAAAUGCCAGAACUUUGUUAUUAUUUUACCAUUUCUUGUAACAUAUCUCAGUCUCAGCUGAUCAUGACACAUCAGAGUCUCCUGACACUGAGGUUGAAAAAUAUCCAUUCAGUGCAAGUGGCAACCAAACUGGCAGAGCAAAUAUAUGGUAAGAGAUCCUUAGAUCCCUGGAGCUGACUGAAAUGUAUGAGAGCACUCGGAACUAGCAUCGGCACUUAAGAAUCUUUCAGCAAAUGAUAGGACCACAUCGUACUGCUCUGCUCCUUCCAGCCUGGUACCUUCACACCAAGUUGGCUCAAUAGCCUCAAAUUUAUGAGGCAGGGCAGGACAGAGGAUGUUUACAUUAAAGUAGGUUUUAAAUGAGCUUAAGAUACCAAAAUAUUGUUAGCAGUAUGAAGUUAAUUUUAGGCACCAUGAUUCAAUUUCUGCCUUUUUAUUAAUUGUAUUAUUGUUAUGCUAUUAAUUGUAUAAUUGUUAUUGGCAUGUGUUAACUUAGGCUUUACAUUGAAAACAAAAUUAAUUUUUAAAUUUUUAGUGCUCAAAAUGCAGUGAUUAUCUGGAGAGCUUUUUAAAAGGACAACACUGAGACUAUAUCUCAGACAAGUUAAAUCAGAAUCUGUGAAUGGGACCAAGGCAUUAGUAGUUUUUAAAGCCCCACAGGUAAUUCCAGCAUGUAGCAAAGCCUGAGACCCACUGGUCUAAGGAAGGGAAAAGGGCAGGAGAGGAAGGUGAGUAUAGGGAGACAUUGAGAAAUUGUGGCCAUGCAAUUAUAAUUGAUGUUAUUUAGAUCUGUCAGCCUGAUAUUCUAAGAGUUGCCAGUGACACUGGAGAUGGGCCUAAGACAUUCCCUGACAGCAAUCAUUUCCUAUCUCUCUGUAUAUCUAUCCUUGGAGGAGCCUUUUACCCCUGGAGUCCAAGGCAAAAAGGAAGUGGUGACUUCUCUGUGACUGUACAAUUCUCUCAAAACUGAUUCAGUAAAACCCUUCUCUACUUCUCUCACUUCAGAGGUGGGCAGAAGUAGAGUCCUACACAGAAUUCUGCAGAAUAGACAGAUUCAAACCAGAAUGGAAAAAAUAAUAAUAUGGAAUGUCUAUAUUGAGGGAGGUGCUACCUGAAUCCUUACUACCACCCCAAAGGCAGGUAUUAGAUGUGCCUCCAUCUUACAGGUGAAGAUACAGAGAAACAGCAACAUAAGAAGGCUACCCAAGGUCAUACAGCUAAUGUGUACCUAAGUUUGGACUUUUUACUCCAAGACAGAUGGAAAACUGACCAAGGGUCAGGCCAGCUAUUCAUGGACAGCUGUCUGUGUCAAAGGAAUCUUUCAUUCUUUAGGUAGAGAAUCAAAUUAGUAUGCUAAUUGUGUUCUUUGCUAGUAUGUGUAAGCAAGCAUUAUACUCACAGACAUAGAAAAGAAUCUUAGUAUUCAGACACCAGUUUCGUAUUUGUCCUCUUUUGAAACAUCAUCACUAGCUCUCAUGAACAGUUUAAGGCUAUUGGAGUUUCUCCAAUUAAAAAAUACAUAUAUUUGGAAUAGCUAAAAGAACCGAGUAUAUGCAUCUAAGCUCAAGCUUACAUGGAACCUUUGAAAACUGGAUACGACUCCUUCUUAUGACAUUUCUGAAAAUGGAAAUCCUCUUGAAUUCAUGAUGGUAACAAAGAAAAAAAUACAUUUUGUAUGUUCUCCCUAUGAGGUCCUGGAGUGUGAGUGUAAUUGGAAUUUAGCAUCAACCCCAAACAACUGGAGCCAUCUGUUUCCUAUUUUGUAAACUUUUGUUCAAUCAGAAAUUGUUAGCUACCUAAAGAAACAGCCUAAGGUAGAACCUGCCCUCAACCAAUUUGAAGACAGAAGUUUAUCUUUUAUUUACUCAUCAAGCAUUGCCUUGUGUCUACUACUUUUGCUGUUUCAUUUUUGCCAGGCACUUUUGCUGUUUCGUUUUUGCUCCUUUCCCAACUUAUUAGCACUCCUGUCCCUCUUCCUCUUACAAUUCCAAAGGCCUUUCCCUCUCUCUCUACCAGGUAGGCCAAAACCUGCUUUUCGAGCCUUCACAGGAAGGUAUAAGUGGUUGAUAACAGCUAAAAGUAGUUAUGAUUUCUAGGGCUCUAUGCAUUUUAACAGAGACCAAAUCCUUUAAAGCUAUAAGGGCAAUGGUCUUAUAGUUACAGGCAGUGGAUCCCUGGAGACUGACAAAGCCUGCUGCAAUCUUGCCAUCCUGUGGCAGCCUGCUACUCUUCUGAGGUCAGGCCCAUGCCUUUCCGUGUUUUUACCCCAAGUGCUUGGCACAGGGAUCAGCAUAUUUGGCACCCAAUAAUGAAAGCUUUGGCCUGAGGAAAAUAAGUCGCAAUAACAAGCUGCUAACACAGAUGAAUGGGAAGAUGCUGGAUUAGUUUUGAGCCAAAAUACCAUGAGAAAAGGCCAGGUGAAGCAAUAAUAGGAGAUAACCCAGUACUAUCAUUUGAACUCUCCUAGAAGCCAGUGUUAGGUUUUUUGGUUUUGUUUUGUUUUGUGGCCACCCUCAGCAUAUGGAGUUCUGGGGCUGCAGCUGCAACACACUAGAUCCUUAACCCACUGCACUGAGCCAGGGAUCGAACCUGCGUCCUGGCACUCCAGAGAUGACGCCAAUCCCACUGUGUCACAGUGGGAACUCCCCAGUAUCAGUUUGGAGAGAUUUCUGGGGGUUCCAGCUUACUGUAGGAUCCAUAGAUCUGGUUUUAUUUAGCAGCUCUGCUACAUUUCAAUUUGUUGCGUUUAAGAUGCACUGGAAUUGGGAUAGCGAGUAAAUGAAUCACUGAAAAAAUGUGUAUUGAGGAGUUCCCAUUGUGGCACAGCAGACAUGAAUCCAACUAGCAUCCAUCAGGAUGUGGGUUCAAUUCCUAGCCCCAUUUGGUGGGUCGUGGAUCUGGCACUGCCAUGAGCUGUGGUGUAGAUCACAGACAGAGCCCAGAUCCCAAGUUGCUGUGGCUGUGGCCAGCAGCUGUAGCUCUGAUUUGACCUAGCCUGAGAACUUCUAUGUGCCGUGGGUGCAGCC